UGUUUUGCAUUUACAUUUCAAGCGAUACAUUUAAUCUUGAAUGUUUAUCAAAGAAUUAUUUAGUUUACAAGUUUCCCGAACCUAAAUAAUAUAAUAGACACGCACGGUAGUGUGGUGUGGGACAUUGAAUUAGAUUGAAUUACACCAAAGUACAAAACCUUUACGUUAUUAUUAAGGUGGUAGGUACUUCUAUGGUUCCGUUUCAAACACAAGGUCAGUUAGCAGCUACGACAAAGUGAUAAUCUGCCACAUGCUCGAUGGCGAUCUUUUUCUUUCUGUAUUUUUUUUUUCGACGGAAUAAACCCAACAGCUAUCUGUUUCACUCAAGUACACACGACGGCCGACAGUUGAUCGCUUCACAAUUGCUCACACGCUUCGAACAAAAACUGACGACUCUGCAGCCUGCAGGAUUCAUAUACAAAAGUAUAGCAUUAUUUUCAUUUAAAAUGUAAAUUAGAGUAUCCAGAAGUUGGAUAACGACACAAGAUACACACAUGUGACGGAAGAUACAUUUUCCAUCGGAUCAUGCGAGUACCAAGAAUUGACACUAUAUUGUCACACUACUUCGUGGAAGACUCUUUGCUAGACAGAGAUUGUGAGAUAUUGACGUAACCAAAUUAAAGGGCACGACGGAGAUAGCUCUUUACUCCUAUCAUUGUAAAGCCUAUUUAUCUUCAGUAACCUAACAUUUGUUGUUACCGAUAAUAACUUGUAAUGAAAUCUAUAAAUAGUUUGGAAAUGUAAAUAUACAACGUAAAAAUUUGUGCCUAUGUAUUUUUUAUACAAAGAUAUUCUUAUAUACAUAUAAGAAUAACUUAUAUGGGAUAUUGUAUUCA